CAAACGUGCCCCAGUCGGAUAUGUGCCCCACUCGCGAAACUCAGUGAAACAUUUUAAAUUUGGCGCUUACUUGAUCCUAGCUGGUCAGUGUUCCAAGUAUGGCCGCGAUGUAAACAACACUGUGCUGGUUUUUAUUUAGUUUUAGUGAGAAAAAGUGAUUAAAAGGAUGCCAAUUCACUAAUCAAAGGGGGAACGUGUUAAUAUUACAAGUCCUUAAAGGUUAAAACAUCCGCAAAGAUUCCUGAAGAUAACAAAAAAGAUAGAAAUACUGUUUCAAGGUAUGUUAAUCAGUUGAAAGCUAACCCUAAAUCUGAUGUGCUCAAACACACGCCAAGUUUGAACAAGAAAAAACAUUAAAAGACUACCUUUUUUUUGUUUUAUCACAAUCUGGGUCCAGUUAUGGACAUGUAUCAAUUCCCAGCUACCAGAAUAUGAAAUAUCGACGAAACUGAUGUUCCAAUAGUCUUAAAAUCAGAACUUACCAGUUUGGAAAUGGAAUUUUUUCAACUCACCUGCAAGGAAAAAGAAGCAAUUAUCAAUAUUGUUUCGUUUGGAUAAAACAACGUCAUUUAUCUGACUAAAUUUGUAAGAAACUAUUAUUUUUAACUCCACUUUUGGAAUGAAUAAAUGGUUCAAAUAAAA